AUUCCAUGUUGUGGGCACUUCCUCAAUAAUUCCUUGUAUCUUUCAUAUGCUUCAUACAAGGUUUUCAGACUCCAUAUGUCGAAAUAAAGAUAUGCCACUCCUAAGCUC